rnacentral:tRNA from 1 species
UGAUAAUUAGUUCAAGAUAAAACAAGUGGUUUCAACUCACUAGACUAUGGGUUACCCUAAUUAUCAA